AUUGAACGCUGGCGGCAGGCCUAACACAUGCAAGUCGAACGGUAACAGGAAGAAGCUUGCUUCUUUGCUGACGAGUGGCGGACGGGUGAGUAAUGUCUGGGAAACUGCCUGAUGGAGGGGGAUAACUACUGGAAACGGUAGCUAAUACCGCAUAACGUCGCAAGACCAAAGAGGGGGACCUUCGGGCCUCUUGCCAUCGGAUGUGCCCAGAUGGGAUUAGCUAGUAGGUGGGGUAACGGCUCACCUAGGCGACGAUCCCUAGCUGGUCUGAGAGGAUGAACAGCCACACUGGAACUGAGACACGGUCCAGACUCCUACGGGAGGCAGCAGUGGGGAAUAUUGCACAAUGGGCGCAAGCCUGAUGCAGCCAUGCCGCGUGUAUGAAGAAGGCCUUCGGGUUGUAAAGUACUUUCAGCGGGGAGGAAGGGAGUAAAGUUAAUACCUUUGCUCAUUGACGUUACCCGCAGAAGAAGCACCGGCUAACUCCGUG
rnacentral:rRNA from 1 species